rnacentral:pre_miRNA from 1 species
AUUUUACUCCCUCUGUUCGGAAUUACUUGUCGCGAAAAUGGAUGUAUCUAGACGCAUUUUAGUUCUAGAUACAUCCAUUUCCAAGACAAGUAAUUCCGAACGGAGGGAAUAGUAC